rnacentral:rRNA from 1 species
AAGAGUUUGAUCCUGGCUCAGAUUGAACGCUGGCGGCAGGCUUAACACAUGCAAGUCGAGCGGGGGAAGGUAGCUUGCUACCGGACAAAAAAAAAAAACGGGUGAGUAAUGCUUAGGAAUCUGCCUAUUAGUGGGGGACAACAUCUCGAACCCGAUGCUAAUACCGCAUACGUCCUACGGGAGAAAGCAGGGGAUCUUCGGACCUUGCGCUAAUAGAUGAGCCUAAGUCGGAUUAGCUAGUUGGUGGGGUAAAGGCCUCCCACCGCGCCGAUCUGUAGCGGGUCUGAGAGGAUGAUCCGCCACACUGGGGGUGAGACACGGCCCAGACUCCUACGGGAGGCAGCAGUGGGGAAUAUUGGACAAUGG